ACAAAAGCUAUGAGAUAUCAAGCAGAAACGACAUAUCAAAAACAUUUUUAUAAUUUUAUAAAAGCUGGAAAUUGUUUUAAAAGAAAGUGAAUUUUUCAUAAUAUUGUGUUUCACAUAACAUAUAAAGGUUAAUCAAGUGUCUCAGCUGUAGCUCACUUACUUGCUUAUUAAUAUUGCUUUCUAACCAUACGAAACGCCCAUAUUUAAUGGCAGGAAAUCGCUUAAGAUCUUGAAACUGGGCCAUGGCUCUAUAAUAAACCAUCGUCUACAGCUGUAGGGGCAGCCUUCGCUUCGGUCCACAGAUAAAUCUGUCCCUCUGGCCAUGUGGCACUUCAUAAAUCUCAGCAGCUGAGACUGACGCACAGCAUACAACAAGUGGCAGCAAGAAAAGCAGGAAAAACAUGUCCAACGCAACCAACUAACGAUGUUAAAAAUAAGUCCAGCCAAGUUGAGACUUGACUUGGUAUGAAAUGCGAUAUGCGAGACGAUUUAAAAGCUGCGUAAAAUGCGUACGCAAAAUGCAAAACGUACGUGACCCCUGGACGCAAAACCCCUUUUUUGUUUGUGCCCAGAGGAGGUCACAAAACGAAUGCACUUUUUUUUUGUAAGCCGAUUUAUAAGUAAAGCACACGGCACACUCGCAA